rnacentral:rRNA from 1 species
AUUGAACGCUGGCGGCAUGCCUUACACAUGCAAGUCGAACGGCAGCACGGGAGCAAUCCUGGUGGCGAGUGGCGAACGGGUGAGUAAAGUAUCGGAACGUGCCCAGUCGUGGGGGAUAACGUAGCGAAAGUUACGCUAAUACCGCAUACGAUCUAUGGAUGAAAGCGGGGGAUCGCAAGACCUCGCGCGAUUGGAGCGGCCGAUAUCAGAUUAGGUAGUUGGUGGGGUAAAGGCUCACCAAGCCGACGAUCUGUAGCUGGUCUGAGAGGACGAGCAGCCACACUGGGACUGAGACACGGCCCAGACUGCUACGGGGGGCAGCAGUGGGGAAUUUUGGACAAUGGGCGAAAGCCUGAUCCAGCCAUGCCGCGUGGAGGAUGAAGGCCUUCGGGUUGUAAACUGCUUUUGUACGGAACGAAAAGGUUUGGGCUAAUAAGCUGAGCUCAUGACGGUACCGUAAGAAUAAGCACCGGCUAACUACGUGCCAGCCGCCGCCGUAA